rnacentral:rRNA from 1 species
GACGAACGCUGGCGGCGUGCUUAACACAUGCAAGUCGAACGGAAAGGCCUCUUUCGGGGGGUACUCGAGUGGCGAACGGGUGAGUAACACGCGAGUAACCUGCCCUCGACUUUGGGUUAACUUCAGGAAACUGGGGCUAAUACCGGAUAGGAGCUCCUGCUGCAUGGUGGGGGUUGGAAAGUUUCGGCGGUUGGGGGUGGACUCGCGGCUUAUCAGCUUGUUGUUGGGGUAGUGGUUUACCAAGGCGUUGACGGGUAGCCGGCCUGGGGGGGUGACCGGCCGCCUUGGGACCGAGGUACGGCCCAGGCUCCUAAGGGAGGGAGCAGUGGGGAAGAUUGCACAAUGGGUGGAAGCCGGAUGCAGAAACGCCGUGGGCGGGAUGACGGCCUUCGGGUUGUAAACCGCUUUCGCUCAUGACGAAGCUUUGUGUGACGGUAGUGGGUAAAGAAGCACCGGCUAACUACGUG